GAACGGUAACAGCACUUUUCCGGUGGCUUGACGAAGUGGCGGACGGGUGAGUAAUACAUCGGAAACGUGCCCGAAUCGUGGGGGAAUAACUACUCGAAAGAGUGGCUAAUACCGCAUACGAUCUACGGAUGAAAGCGGGGGAUCGCAAGACCUCGCGCGGACGGAGCGGCCGAUGGCAGAUUAGGUAGUUGGUGGGAUAAAAGCUUACCAAGCCGACGAUCUGUAGCUGGUCUGAGAGGACGACCAGCCACACUGGGACUGAGACACGGCCCAGACUCCUACGGGAGGCAGCAGUGGGGAAUUUUGGACAAUGGGGGAAACCCUGAUCCAGCCAUGCCGCGUGCAGGAUGAAGGCCUUCGGGUUGUAAACUGCUUUUGUACGGAACGAAAAGACUCUUUCUAAUACAGAGGGUCCAUGACGGUACCGUAAGAAUAAGCACCGGCUAACUACGUGC
rnacentral:rRNA from 1 species